GUCUGUAUUAAGGCCUCACCAGUCACGUAUGAUCUUAGAAGCUAAGCAGAAAUGGAUCAGAUUAGUGCUUUAAUGGGAGACUACCUGGGAAUGUCAAGUGCUGUAGGCU
rnacentral:rRNA from 1 species